AUUGAACGCUAGCGGGAUGCUUUACACAUGCAAGUCGAACGGAGUGGCGGACGGGUGAGUAAUAUAUCGGAACGUGGCCAGUAGCGGGGGAUAACUACUCGGAAGAGUGGCCAAUACCCCAUUCUAUUUGAGUGGCCUAUAUCGGAUAAGCUGGUUGGUGGGGUAAAGGCUCACCACGGCAACGAUCCGUAGCUGGUUUGCGAGUACGACCAGCCAAACUGGGACUGAGACACGGCCCGGACUCCUACGGGAGGCAGCAGUGGGGAAUUUUCGACAAUGGGGGAAACCCUAAUCCAGCCAUCCCGCGUGUAUGAUGAAGGCCUUCGGGUUGUAAAGUACCUUUGGCAGAGAAGCGGUAUCUGCAGAAUAAGCCCCGGCUAACUACGUGCCAGCCGCCGCGGUAAUUC
rnacentral:rRNA from 1 species